ACGGCGAGUGAAGCGGCAACAGCUCAAAUUUGAAAUCUGGCCCCCUCGGGGUCCGAGUUGUAAUUUGUAGAGGAUGUUUCGGCGAGUGCUCCCGUCUAAGUUCCUUGGAACAGGACGUCAUAGAGGGUGAGAAUCCCGUAUGUGAUGGGUUGCGCGAGCCAUGUGAAACUCCUUCGACGAGUCGAGUUGUUUGGGAAUGCAGCUCUAAAUGGGAGGUAAAUUUCUUCUAAAGCUAAAUACCGGCCAGAGACCGAUAGCGCACAAGUAGAGUGAUCGAAAGAUGAAAAGCACUUUGGAAAGAGAGUUAAAAAGUACGUGAAAUUGUUGAAAGGGAAGCGCUUGCAACCAGACUUGCCCGCAGUUGCUCAGCCCGCCUCCUGGUGGGUGCACUCUUCUGCGGUCAGGCCAGCAUCAGUUCGGGCGGCCGGAUAAAGGCGUCGGGAAUGUAGCUCCUCUCGGGGAGUGUUAUAGCCCGGCGCGACAUGCGGCCAGCCUGGACUGAGGAUCUCGCUUCGGCUAGGAUGCUGGCGUAAUGGUUGUAAGCGGCCCGUCUUGAAACACGGACCAAGGAGUCUAACAUCUAUGCGAGUGUUUGGGUGUCAAACCCAUGCGCGUAAUGAAAGUGAACGGAGGUGGGAACGCGCAAGCGUGCACCAUCGACCGAUCCUGAUGUCUUCGGAUGGAUUUGAGUAAGAGCAUAGCUGUUGGGACCCGAAAGAUGGUGAACUAUGCCUGAAUAGGGUGAAGUCAGAGGAAACUCUGAUGGAGGCUCGCAGCGGUUCUGACGUGCAAAUCGAUCGUCAAAUUUGGGUAUAGGGGCGAAAGACUAA
rnacentral:rRNA from 1 species